rnacentral:rRNA from 1 species
AUUGAACGCUGGCGGCAGGCCUAACACAUGCAAGUCGAACGAGUGGCGGACGGGUGCGUAAUGUCUGGGAAACUGCCUGAUGGAGGGGGAUAACUACUGGAAACGGUAGCUAAUACCGCAUCCCAUCGGCUGUGCCUCGAUGGGAUUAUCUAGUAGGUGGGGUAAAGGCUCACCUAGGCGACGAUCCCUAGCUGGUCUGAGAGGAUGACCAGCCACACUGGAACGGAGAAACGGUCCAGACUCCUACGGGAGGCAGCAGUGGGGAAUAUUGCACAAUGGGCGCAAGCCUGAUGCAGCCAUGCCGAGUGUAUGAAGAAGGCCUUAGGGUUGUAAAGUACUUUCAGCGGGGAGGCGUUACCCGCAGAAGAAGCACCGGCUAACUCCGUGCCAGCAGCCGCGGUAAUAC